rnacentral:rRNA from 1 species
AGCGAACGCUGGCGGCAGGCCUAACACAUGCAAGUCGAGCGCCCGGAUUUAUCCGGGAGCGGCGCACGGGUGAGUAACGCGUGGGAACAUGCCCUGAAGUACGGAGCAACCUGGGGAAACCUUGGCUAAUACCGUAUACGCCCUGAGGGGGAAAGAUUUAUCGCUUUGGGAUUGGCCCGCGUUGGAUUAGCUGGUUGGUGUGGUAACGGCGCACCAAGGCGACGAUCCAUAACUGGUCUGAGAGGAUGACCAGCCACACUGGGACUGAGACACGGCCCAGACUCCUACGGGAGGCAGCAGUGGGGAAUAUUGGACAAUGGGCGAAAGCCUGAUCCAGCCAUGCCGCGUGAGUGAAGAAGGCCUUCGGGUUGUAAAGCUCUUUCAGCGGGGACGAUGAUGACGGUACCCGCAGAAGAAGCCCCGGCUAACUUCGUGCCAGCCGCCGCCGUAA